rnacentral:rRNA from 1 species
UGCCAGCAGCCGCGGUAAUACGGAGGGUGCAAGCGUUAAUCGGAAUUACUGGGCGUAAAGCGCGCGCAGGUGGCCGCUCAAGCCUGACGUGAAAGCCCCCGGCUCAACCGGGGAGGGUCGUCGGGGACUGAGUGGCUUGAGGACGGUAGGGGCCGGUGGAAUUCCCGGUGUAGUGGUGAAAUGCGUAGAGAUCGGGAGGAACACCAGUAGCGAAGGCGGCCGGCUGGGCCGAUCCUGACACUGAGGCGCGAAGGCGUGGGGAGCGAAAGGGAUUAGAUA